AAACUUUCAACAAUGGAUCUCUUGGUUCCGGCAUCGAUGAAGAACGCAGCGAAAUGCGAUAAGUAAUGCGAAUUGCAGAAUUCCGUGAGUCAUCGAAUCUUUGAACGCACAUUGCGCCCCCCGGCUUCCCGGGGGGCAUGCCUGUCCGAGCGUCAUU
rnacentral:rRNA from 1 species